UGUUUGGUAUUGUGUGUCGAAUUCGAGUAUGAAAUUUGUGUUUGAAUGUGGAAAGUAUGUAAACAAUGCGAGUUUCUGACUUAACCAAGGAGUACGAGUACUGGAGUAGGAGAAGGAACACUGUGGUGUAAAGGUAAAACGCAACAAGGACAGAAAUCUUUAUUAUCGAACAGCUGGUAUUUAUUUUCUAUGGGAAUUGUAAACAGAAAUACAAUAGACUUGUACAUGACGCGGUUGAUACGUUAUACGCGUUGUAUGAAAUCGUGUUACAUGAUCUCAUGUUAUACGGGAGUUCAAUGUAGUGUUUUCACGUUCGAAUUCGAUCGUUUGUUAUUGGAUAAUGUGUCGGUCUCUUAGUUCUCGAGCGUAUAAGUUGAAUCGCUUCAGGAUACGAACCUCGGAUUAUACGAUCAAUCGUUUAAAUCGUGUAACGGUCAUUAUAGUAAGAAAUCUAAUAUUUUAUGAGGUUGUUAACGUAGAUUCGUAACGGUGAUAGCAUUUAACCGAGCUUUAUUUACCGUAGCUCGGGGAAGUAAAGCAAAAAAAAAAAAAAAAUGAAACAAGCGGAUUCGUCGUGCUGCGGGGUUGACGGACACGUUGCGUGUCUCGUUUUCCUAUUGGUCGACUCGCUGUAGGCUCGUCACCUUUGCAUAUAUGUAGGUAAUACUCGCGCCAUAUGGUGGGGUACUCUAUGCAUACACUGUCUCGGCCAGAUUCUAUCUUACCAACACAAUAGUUAUUCAAGUAUUGGUAGUGGUAGGCGUAGGAGUACUCUGGGAAACAGGUUUGCUUGUGUCUACAGGGUGUCCCGUGCAGAGAUGGGUUCUCGAGCUGCUCUUCAUUACGACGAAUCUACACAAAUAUUAUAUGUAAAAUAUUUCGGUUGAAGAUGAACAACGUACGGUGGAAGCAAUUAUUAUUUAAGUUUCGACGGGUAGUGUUAUGGAAAUUUCAAGUUACACAUUUUGUUCGGGCGAGAAGAAAGCUCUGUAAACAAAACCGCGUGAUUUGAAACGGAAGCUUAGUUAUUGGUCCGUUAUGUAACUGUUCAGGAGCGUAACGUUAGUUGUUACUAGCAUGUAUUUUUCUUUCUUUUUUCUUUAUCAAAGUGCACAGGGUGUCGCAAAAAUGUUGUAACACCUUGAAAGAGGUGGUUCGGGAGGUGAUUUGAAACAACUUUUUCCUUAGCGGAAAUGUUGUAGGAGGUUUCGUUAAGGAGAUAUUAACAGAAAACCCCGACCAAUCACAGCGCGCGUAUACCGGUGGACCGACCGCGGUAGGCGUGGCUACGCGCUAAGCGGCCGCGCUCAUACGCUACCGCGGCCGCUCCACUAGUAUACUCGCGCUCGGAUUGGUCAGUGUUUUCCGUUAAUAUCUUCUCAACGAAGCCUCCUACAACAUUUUCGCUAAGGAAAAAGUUGUUUCAAAUCACCUCCCGAACCACUAUUAUCAGGAACUUCCAACAUUCUUGGGACAGCCUGUGUACGAGGUUUUGUGGUCACAAAACAUUGCUUAUUAUUAUUAUUCUAACAAAUCACGAGUAUACUUAAGAAUUUCAGUAAUUGUAAAAGAAUAAUGAGCAAAAUUUGAUGGCUACCAAACUUCGUACAGAUGAAUUUCAAUGGCCAUCUAGUUGAGACUUAGGUGUAUAUGUAUAAUAUAAUUAUAAUAUUGAGCGCUGUGUAACACCUCAUCCAGCGAAAUUCGAGCCCAUUCUCUACGCAACGAUCUGGCAAAAACUAUAGGGAACUAUUAUUUUAAGAAAAAAAUUAAAACAACUUGUGGUCGCCAUAGUGUUGGUCUCGACAGGGUGAUCGAAAAAGGCAUGAAAAUGGCAAAAACUGUAAGGAACUAUUCUAUUUCGAGAAAAAAAGAAUGACAACAACUUACUUUUUAUAGUCUUAAACCUCUUUUUAGGUCAACCUAGACUUAUACAAUUAUACCCCAAGGUUCAGAGUCAACAUGUACUCGCUAAUAAAAUCCUGAACAGUAAACCAACGAUCACAACUAUUAUACGAAAAUAAAUGAUAAAUUAGCCUACA